rnacentral:tRNA from 1 species
GGGCCGUUAGCUCAGUUGGCUAGAGCGCCUGCUUUGCACGCAGGAGGUCAAGGGUUCGACUCCCUUACGGUCCACCA